UUGCAUGAGAAUUUGAAAGCUAAAUUAUAUUAAAUUUUGACAUGUAAUGCGUUGCUAAAAAGAGAAACAUAUCUGGAAAUUUUCUUUCAUCAAAUUAACUAUUGUCCUCUCGCAGGUCCCCUAGCUUACUAAUGCUAUUCUGACUUCCAGGAAUAUUAUGAGAACCUAAAUUAAGCUUAUCAGCUAUAAUGGCACAGCUAAAAAACUGCAGGAAUUUAUUGAGAAUUUCAGUGUAAAUCAUGAGCAUCGUUUUCUUCUCAAUGUCACCAACCUUCAGUAGGGAGAGAAACUCCUCUGCUUAUUCAUGGUUCAUUGAUACAAUUAUACCAACUGAAACGAUUUUAAGCAAACAGAAUUACCCAAAUGCUGAUAACAAUUGACAUCAAAUUCAGUGAGACUUGUGCUGGAACGGGUGGGCUUUAAAUGCCUGAACUCAUCAAACUGUGAUGUCAUCAUAAAUGGUCCUGCCCAUCUAGAUGCAUCCUCCCUUAAAAUCAUCAAACCGAACAUCAAAUACAAACUUGACAUAUUACUUCCCAUGGAAGGUAUACAUGGUCGUGUGAUAUUAGAAUGGCAGAAAAUUUUUGUACAGAGAUAGCUGGAAAUGGUUUUACGAGGACAAAUGGUUCCACUAUAGUAAUUCGCUUUGAUGGAAGACCAAUUCUGGUUGAUUUAUGGAUGUCCCUUCCUGACUACGAGCUGGAGUUUAAUGGGGUCCCCAGAACUGUCCUUUCAACUAGUAAAAUGGAGGACUUGGAACUUUUCUUAGACUUCAGCAUUCCUAUUAUGAAUUCAACAGAGCAAGUCCUGAAAGCAUUUUGUUUGAAUUCUGGUAGCUUAAUAGUUAUUCAUCAUAGAUGCCAUACGAAUCUCCGGUUUAUGUUUAAACUUACAAAUAUACCAAAAACUUAAAUAAUCCCUGUUGAACUACAAGCAGGUUCUCUUAUUGGCAUAACAGGCACUCCUGCUUCACCAGUUCCUUCGCUUACAUUUCUCUAUGGUAUGUUAUUCCAGAGUUUGUGCUCUCCACAGUCCACAGUAGUUCCUGCAAUUCUUUCUAGCUGAGCAUGGAGCUAAAUGACUAGUUUUCUUCUAAGAUUCUGCCAAGCCUGGGGUAGGGCUAAGUACCAGCUCACCAAGCAUCACAAAGGAACCCAACAUCAAUGUGAUAGUGGAGUUUACAAAGCCAGUUUUUGGGUUUGAGGCUUCCAUGGUAGAUGUGGACGGAGGGAGACUUACAAGGAAGAUUUAAGGAACUCUCGAGAGCUCUAUACUCAAUGACUGUCCAGGCGUUUAGUCAGAAGGUAGUCUCCAUUUCCAUUCCUGCAGGAAAAGUCAAUGAUGUGUCAGGAAACCAAAAUUCGGCAUCCAAUACUCUUGAAGUAAAACACUCUAAGAAUAAUACAUAUUCCUGUUGUGAUGUUUCAGGAUUUUUACUUUAUGCUAAAAGCUGCAUCUUUGGAAAUUUACCAAUUGCUGUUUAACUACUUGAGACUCGGUUUAUACAGAUUCAACCCCUACUAUCAACUGCACUACACUCAUUUCUGACUGCGGGAACAUUAGUAACAUCAUUGACGGCAGUUAUUCUUUCUCUUUCCUCUACAAAUGUUGGAGCGAUGGGCAUUCUGUUCUCAGAAAGUACAAAUUUUAUGGCUUCUGACACAUCAA